rnacentral:rRNA from 1 species
CUGAUGGCGAGUGGCGAACGGGUGAGUAAUGCAUCGGAACGUGCCCAAUCGUGGGGGAUAACGCAGCGAAAGCUGUGCUAAUACCGCAUACGAUCUACGGAUGAAAGCGGGGGACCUUCGGGUCUCGCGCGAUUGGAGCGGCCGAUGUUAGAUUAGGUAGUUGGUGGGGUAAAGGCUCACCAAGCCGACGAUCUAUAGCUGGUCUGAGAGGACGACCAGCCACACUGGAACUGAGACACGGUCCAGACUCC